UACGUAGGGGGCAAGCGUUGUCCGGAAUUAUUGGGCGUAAAGCGCGCGCAGGCGGUUUUUUAAGUCUGGUGUUUAAUCCCGAGGCUCAACCUCGGUUCGCACCGGAAACUGGGAGACUGGAGUGUAGGAGAGGAAAGUGGAAUUCCACGUGUAGCGGUGAAAUGCGUAGAGAUGUGGAGGAACACCAGUGGCGAAGGCGACUUUCUGGCCUAUAACUGACGCUGAGGCGCGAAAGCGUGGGGAGCAAACAGG
rnacentral:rRNA from 1 species